AUUGAAGCACUAAAUAGUAGAUCGAACCUGUAAUUUUAUAACGACAUCGAGAUAACUUCAUCUCACAACCUGUCAUCACAAAAUCUUUUGCAACCACACAAGAUGAAUAAAUUAACAAAAACAAUAAUAUAAAACACCAACAACAAAAAAAUUCACUAACAAUGCCAAGAUAGAUCA